rnacentral:misc_RNA from 1 species
GAGAUGUUUCGAGUCCAAGGAAAAUACUAAGCUCUUCUUGCUCCUCCAUUAGACAAAUUAGUUAAGAGUAAAACUUGCUUAAGAAGAGAGUUACUUGAGAAUAGAAUACAAUUGGUGGAGACAACCAAUUCAAAGGAAAAUAAUGGAUCCCAGAUCUCUCUUGCUAAACAUGCUGGUUAGGAUUUAAUGCCUAGAUUUUUAGGGCUACUCGAAGGUGGCAAGUAAUGCAAAAAGGUAUCAAGAUAAAUAAUUUAGAUUCCUUGUAACUUUUCCUCCUAUUGGGAAGAACCCAUAAAGCCUUUUUUUUUUAUUUUUCAAAUCCAAAAAUUAUUUUCUUCUCAUAUCAAAGAAAAUUAUUUUACAAAGGGCGUCCAGUGAUGAGAUAUCCCACAUUGCUGGCUCUUGGGAGUGUCGAAUGUACUAUAUCUUCCCUUUGCAUUUCAGCAACUUUACUUCAUUAAAAUCAAUUGUUGAUAUUGUCUUCAUAGGCAUUGGAAUUGUGGAAUUAAAUUCCCAUUUUAACAUUGGCAAUACCAGUUACUUUGAAAUUCCACCUCUUCACUUAUUCCUUCUAAGAUU